rnacentral:sRNA from 1 species
UGGUGAUUGCUAAAUUUGAGCAACAUGAAAAGCUUGUUGCUGAAAGACUAAAAAGGAAAAAGAGGAGAAAGAGGCAGAAGAGAAAAGAAGGAAGGAAAGAAUUGCUAAGAAGAAAGCUGAAGAAGAAAAAGAAAGAAGUAAAGUAGAAGAAGAACCAAAGAUUAAAGAAUUAACAGAGGAAGAGGCUGAACAAUUAGAACAAGAUUUGAAAAAGGAAAAAGAAAAUAGCUCUUCGAACAUUGCUAAUGGAACUGGGGAUGUAGAAA